AGGUGUCUACUCAUUACUCAGUUGUUAAGAAAUACCUCUCAAGGCUGAUGUCUGAAGACAGCUGUAGUCAAUGAUUGCCAGCCUGAUUCAGACAGUGUUGUGAAACUGGAGUCCCCAAACAGACUGUUGCUCUUUCUGGCUAUCCCACCACAAAGAAAUUGGAGAGACCUGUUUCUUCUGCCACCUGAUAGCUAAUAUGGCAUGGAGGACUUUGCAGAAGUCAUCUGGGUUGUGUAUGUCAAGACCGAAAAAUAUGUACCUUUAAUUGACCAGAAGUUUA